rnacentral:lncRNA from 1 species
CUGUCAAGGCUAAAUUACUCAUUCAUGAUCAUUGUUCACAAAAUUAAUACAACAUCGUUUGUAUAAUCAUCACCGAGACAUUCAUAUCACAUUUUCAUUUACCAUCUUACCAUAUUGUUGUUAUGUCGAGUUUUCAACCCGAGGGUUAAGUACAUACCUGUUCAAAGUAUUCAUUUUACAACAUUUACCAAUACGUCUCUUUCAUCUCGAGUAUUCCUCCAUUUGAGUAGAAUUUUACCCGUUGAACACAUCGGAAUAUAAUUCGGAUACAUGGAAAGUUUGCACAUAAGUGCCACAUAUGUAGCCAAGCUACCAUGUAACCCGCCCAUAAGUGAACUCGGAC